rnacentral:tRNA from 1 species
CGAGACGUAGCUUAACAUAAAGCAUUUCGCUUACACCGAAAAAAUGUUCGUGAAACCCGAACUGUUCCGA